AGUGAACGCUGGCGGUAGGCCUAACACAUGCAAGUCGAACGGCAGCACAGUAAGAGCUUGCUCUUACGGGUGGCGAGUGGCGGACGGGUGAGGAAUACAUCGGAAUCUACUUUUUCGUGGGGGAUAACGUAGGGAAACUUACGCUAAUACCGCAUACGACCUACGGGUGAAAGCAGGGGAUCUUCGGACCUUGCGCGAUUGAAUGAGCCGAUGUCGGAUUAGCUAGUUGGCGGGGUAAAGGCCCACCAAGGCGACGAUCCGUAGCUGUCUGAGAGGAUGAUCAGCCACACUGGAACUGAGACACGGGCCAGACUCGUACGGGAGGCAGCAGUGGGGAAUAUUGGACAAUGGGCGCAAGCCUGAUCCAGCAAUACCGCGUGGGUGAAGAAGGCCUUGGGGUUGUAAAGCCCUUUUGUUGGGAAAGAAAAGCAGCAGGUUAAUACCCCGCUGUCCUGACGGUACCCAAAGAAUAAGCACCGGCUAACUUCGUG
rnacentral:rRNA from 1 species